UGCAGUCGAGCGAAUGGAUUGAGAGCUUGCUCUCAAGAAGUUAGCGGCGGACGGGUGAGUAACACGUGGGUAACCUGCCCAUAAGACUGGGAUAACUCCGGGAAACCGGGGCUAAUACCGGAUAACAUUUUGAACUGCAUGGUUCGAAAUUGAAAGGCGGCUUCGGCUGUCACUUAUGGAUGGACCCGCGUCGCAUUAGCUAGUUGGUGAGGUAACGGCUCACCAAGGCAACGAUGCGUAGCCGACCUGAGAGGGUGAUCGGCCACACUGGGACUGAGACACGGCCCAGACUCCUACGGGAGGCAGCAGUAGGGAAUCUUCCGCAAUGGACGAAAGUCUGACGGAGCAACGCCGCGUGAGUGAUGAAGGCUUUCGGGUCGUAAAACUCUGUUGUUAGGGAAGAACAAGUGCUAGUUGAAUAAGCUGGCACCUUGACGGUACCUAACCAGAAAGCCACGGCUAACUACGUGCCAGCAGCCGCGGUAAUACGUAGGUGGCAAGCGUUAUCCGGAAUUAUUGGGCGUAAAGCGCGCGCAGGUGGUUUCUUAAGUCUGAUGUGAAAGCCCACGGCUCAACCGUGGAGGGUCAUUGGAAACUGGGAGACUUGAGUGCAGAAGAGGAAGUGGAAUUCCAUGUGUAGCGGUGAAAUGCGUAGAGAUAUGGAGGAACACCAGUGGCGAAGGCGACUUUCUGGUCUGUAACUGACACUGAGGCGCGAAA
rnacentral:rRNA from 1 species